rnacentral:rRNA from 1 species
CCUACGGGAGGCAGCAGUGAGGAAUAUUGGUCAAUGGGCGCGAGCCUGAACCAGCCAAGUAGCGUGAAGGAUGACUGCCCUACGGGUUGUAAACUUCUUUUAUAAAGGAAUCAAGUGAGGCACGUGUGCCUUUUUGUAUGUACUUUAUGAAUAAGGAUCGGCUAACUCCGUGCCAGCAGCCGCGGUAAUACGGAGGAUGCGAGCGUUAUCCGGAUUUAUUGGGUUAAAGGGGUGCGUAGGCGGAAUUUUAAGUCAGCGGUAAAAUUUCCGGGCUCAACCCGGGCAGGCCGUUGAAAGUGGGGAUCUGGAGUGGGCGAGAAGUAUGCGGAAUGCGUGGUGUAGCGGUGAAAUGCAUAGAUAUCACGCAGAACUCCGAUUGCGAAGGCAGCAUACCGGCGCCCGACUGACGCUGAGGCACGAAAGCGUGGGGAUCGAACAGGAUGAGAUACCCGGGUAGUC